AAUAUUUGACAAUGGGCGCAAGCCUGAUCCAGCCAUGCCGCGUGAGUGAAGAAGGCCCUAGGGUUNUCAAGCUCUUUCACCCGCGANGAUGAUGACGGCAGCGGGAGAAGAAGCACCGGCUAACUCCGUGCCAGCAGCCGCGGUAAUACGGAGGGGGCUAGCGUUGUUCGGAUUUACUGGGCGUAAAGGGCGCGUAGGCGGAUGUUCGCGUCAGAGGAGAAGGACCCGGGCUCAACCUGGGAACUGCCUUUGAAACGGGACAACUUGAGUUCGGGAGAGGGUAGCGGAAUUCCCAGUGUAGAGGUGAAAUUCGUAGAUAUUGGGAAGAACAACGGUGGCGAAGGCGGCUGCCUGGCCCGAUACUGACGCUGAGGCGCGAAAGCGUGGGGAGCAAAC
rnacentral:rRNA from 1 species